rnacentral:lncRNA from 1 species
UUUGUCGGAUAGAAUUGCAUCUUGCCGAUGCGACGAUAUCGUCUUACUGGUUUCGCAUAUUUCAUCUUUUACUAGUUGCUUAGAAUUUUGAAAAGUACCGCGUCCAUCUACCUGCCGUCCAAAGUCAAACUCGAUGUAAUUCCCGCGGCACUCAUUGGAGAAGGAGCUUCACCAAUGAGGCGCCGAUGUUAAGCGUCUUCUUUCGCGAAGAGAAAUAAUCGAAGUGCAGCUACGAUAAACGGGUAGGGAACUCCGACGAAAGAUUGUGGAAGGGGAUUCGCCGACUUCCUCGUAGCUUCCUCGUAAUCGUUAUCGCGAUUGUCGGCACCGAGUUAACCCAAACCGAUCGUUGACACUCUCGAGGAGAAUGAAACCGUUGCGCGGACAAACCGCUUUUCGAAGUGUCCGAAGACCGAAGUUAUCUAUCGCGCGACGUCGCUCGUAUUUGCUCGUAUUGUAGGUCGCUCUUUGAUUGACCGCCCGCGCCAAGUGCCGAGUCUAGUUUGAUAUGUAUGUAGAUCGUUCCAACCCCAACGCAAAUCUGACAAAGUUCACAAACUCCUUGGGUGCGUUCGAAACAUAUAUUACAAAAGUAAAAAGUAAGUAACAUAAGAACGAUUGUUUGGUGAAAAAAAAAACACGCCAAACACCGUGACCAGCACCAUCAGUCACAAGCACCAUAGGAAUCGGUGGUACUCAUAAGCCGGGCGGGCGGGCAGGCAGGGCAGGAUAUAACAGGAACCCUCACUUCUACGGAAGGAAGGGUCUCCGAAAAAGAUGAGAAAAAAGGUCAUGUGACGGUAGAAGGGAGAGAAGGAGCAGGAAAGGGAAACGGACCGAGUCUACCGCCUAUGAAUACACGUUCACCUGCGCGAGCGUGAACGCGCGUAACAUGAUACCAAAAGGAUCGUCUCGUAGAAA